rnacentral:rRNA from 1 species
UGGGGAAUAUUGGACAAUGGGCGAAAGCCUGAUCCAGCCAUGCCGCGUGGGUGAAGAAGGCCCUAGGGUUGUAAAGCCCUUUUCCCGGGGACGAUGGUGACGGUACCCGGGGAACAAGCACCGGCCAACUCCGUGCCAGCAGCCGCGGUAAGACGGAGGGUGCGAGCGUUGUUCGGAAUCACUGGGCGUAAAGGGCGCGUAGGCGGCCGCGCGUGUCGGGUGUGAAAGCCCGGGGCGCAACCCCGGAAC